rnacentral:rRNA from 1 species
UACGCGUGAGAAUCUAGCUUUAGGUCGGGGACAACCACUGGAAACGGUGGCUAAUACCGGAUGUGCCGGAAGGUGAAAGAUUUAUUGCCUAGAGAUGAGCUCGCGUCUGAUUAGCUAGUAGGUGUGGUAAGAGCGCACCUAGGCGACGAUCAGUAGCUGGUCUGAGAGGAUGAUCAGCCACACUGGGACUGAGACACGGCCCAGACUCCUACGGGAGGCAGCAGUGGGGAAUUUUCCGCAAUGGGCGAAAGCCUGACGGAGCAAUACCGCGUGAGGGAGGAAGGCUCUUGGGUUGUAAACCUCUUUUCUCAAGGAAGAAAAAAAUGACGGUACUUGAGGAAUAAGCAUCGGCUAACUCCGUGCCAGCAGCCGCGGUAAUACGGAGGAUGCAAGCGUUAUCCGGAAUGAUUGGGCGUAAAGCGUCCGCAGGUGGCAAUGUAAGUCUGCUGUUAAAGAGUGAGGCUCAACCUCAUAAGAGCAGUGGAAACUACAUAGCUAGAGUGCGUUCGGGGCAGAGGGAAUUCCUGGUGUAGCGGUGAAAUGCGUAGAGAUCAGGAAGAACACCGGUGGCGAAAGCGCUCUGCUAGGCCGCAACUGACACUGAGGGACGAAAGCUAGGGGAGCGAAUGGGA